GACGAACCGUCCAAACGUUGUUCGGAAUCACUGGGCUUAAAGGGCGCGUAGGCGGAUUUGCAAGUCUGCGGUGAAAUCCUCCAGCUUAACUGGAGAAGUGCCGUGGAUACUGCGAGUCUCGAGGAGGGUAGGGGCAUCUGGAACUGCCGGUGGAGCGGUGAAAUGCGUUGAUAUCGGCAGGAACUCCGGUGGCGAAGGCGAGAUGCUGGAUCCUUUCUGACGCUGAGGCGCGAAAGCCAGGGGAGCAAACGGG
rnacentral:rRNA from 1 species